UCCUGAUGGCUCAGACGGUAAAGAAUCUGCCCUCAAUGCAGGAGGUCCGGGUUCGAUCCCUGGGUCAGGAA
rnacentral:tRNA from 1 species